AGUGAACGCUGGCGGCGUGCCUAAUACAUGCAAGUCGAACGGAGUGGCGCACGGGUGAGUAAUAUAUAGCUAAUAUGCCCCUUGCUGGAGGACAACAGUUAGAAAUGACUGCUAAUACUCCAUAGCAAGGGAUGAGACUAUAUCGUAUCAGCUAGUCGGUGGGGUAACGGCCUACCGAGGCUAUGACGCGUAACUGGUCUGAGAGGAUGAUCAGGCACAUUGGAAGUGAGACACGGUCCAAAAUCCUACGGGAGGGGGCAGUAGGGAAUAUUGUGCAAUGGGGGAGUCCCAGACGGAGCAACGCCGCGUGGAGGAAGACACUUUUCGGAGAGUAAGCUCCUUGUGUUAGGGAAGCGGUACCUAACGAAUAAGCACCGGCUAACUCCGUGCCAGCAGCCGCGGUAAUAC
rnacentral:rRNA from 1 species